GAGGAGGACAGAGGUUCAACCACAAUCAACUACUCAAUCAGGUGGGUACUAAAAACAGAGAGGGAGUGAGAGGGGGGGGGGGGUAGAGAGAGAAAGAAGAGAAGAGGAGGACAGAGGUUCAACCACAAUCAACUACUCAAUCAGGUGGGUACUAAAAACAGAGAGGGAGUGAGAGGGGGGGGGGAGGGUAGAGA